AACGAACGCUGGCGGCGUGGAUAAGACAUGCAAGUCGAACGAUCACUAUCGGGUAGCAAUAUCCGGCAGCGGUAGUGGCGCAAGGGUGCGUAACACGUGGGUAAUUUGCCGUAAAGUCUGGGAUAACUUGCUGAAAGGCGAGCUAAUACCGGAUGUGAUUGCUGGAGGGCAUCCUCUGGCACUUAAAGUCGGGGACCGUAAGGCCUGACACUUUUCGUAUAAGCCCGCCGGCCUAUCAGCUAGUUGGUGAGGUAACGG
rnacentral:rRNA from 1 species